GUUGAAAUAGUGAAAGACAAAACCCAAUACCAGAAAUUCACGAAGGGACAAGGCCGAAUAUCAGUGGAGUUGAAGUAGUGAAAGACAAAACCCAAUACCAGAAAUUCAAGAAGGGACAAGGCCGAAUAUCAGUGGAGUUGAAGUAAUGAAAGACAAAACCCAAUCCCACAAAUUCAAGAAGGGACAAGGCCGAAUAUCAGUGAAGUUGAAGUAGUGAAAGACAAAACCCAAUACCAGAAAUUCAAGAAGGGACAAGGCCGAAUAUCAUUUCAGCAUUGUCAUCAAUUCUUGUUCCCUGGCCUCAAAGUGACCGACUUGACUGGAAAGGUUGCGGAUGAUGGAAUUCAAUU